AAGAAAAUUGAAGAUAUCCAAAUUAUUUUUGCAUUAAGUAGACACAAGACAUAAAAAAAUACAUUUUCGCUUAAUAAGGAUAGUAAUUCAAAAUAUUUGGAUAUAUCUACGUUUUGUCCAAUGGACAACAUAGAUUAUAAUGUUGAGUAAUGAGUCCAAAAGGAAACGCCAGAACUGUAAAAAAAAAUAUAACAAAAUAUAAUAAUAAAGUUGAUCGAGCAAAUGAGAGAAAGGUUCCACGGAUAUAGCUUAACGGUUUAAAAUGCCAAGGUAUCACAAAGAAAACGUCAGGAAGAAAUAGAUAUAUUUCUAAGACUAUUUGAAUAAAUUUGUUAGUAAUUUUU
rnacentral:lncRNA from 1 species